CCGAGACCCGCCUCCGAACCAGGCCCCACCUCCUGAGCCAGGCCCCCGCCCCCGAUUCUGACUCCGCCCUCUCUGUCCUUCGGUGGAGACUCCGGGAAAAACCUGCCUCCCAGUCUGCCCUCUCUCCGUCUGUCUGUGCUUGUUUUUCUACGUUUAUCCCUGUCGCUUUCCCCACUUAUUCUGCAGGCAUGGCGCGCCCCCAGUGCCGGCUUGGUGCCAGGGCUGGGAGAUCCGGGGGUGAAUCGUGAGCCCGGCCCACAGCGAGCUUGCAGUCUAGAGAUCAAGGCAGUCUUGUCCACAACCUGCUGUCACAUAAAGCAAAUGUAGCUGGUGUAGCACCAGGGGCUGCAAUCAAGUGCGGUGGGGCGGCAAUAGUGACCACGGAAAUAAUCAGAAUUGCUUUUAAUUCAGCUCCUACUAUAUUCCCGCAUCCCUGAGCCUCACAAUCAUCCUCCAAGGAUGUUCGCUUUGGCAGAUGAUUAGAAUACGUGCUGACUUGAUAGCCACAACUGUCCUGAUAAGAAAGUACGCCGGCCUGGCUGGGCAUGGUGGCUCACGCCUGUAAUCCGAGGAUUUUGGGAGGCCCAGGCGGGCGGAUCACUUGAUGUCAGGAGUUCGAGACCAGCCUGUCCAACAUGGUGAAACCCCGUCUGUACUAAAAAUACAAUAAUUAGCCGAGCAUGAUGGCAUGUGCCUGUAAUCCCAGCUACUCGGGAGGCUGAGGCACGAGAAUCGCUUGAACCUGGAAGGCAGAGGUUGCAGUUACUUUCCCGACAUUGCACCACUGCACUCCAGCCUUGGCGACAAGAGCGAAAUUUUGUCUCAAAAAAGAAAGAAAGAAAGCACUCAGGCCUGACCCAGGACCACAGCAGUGGACAUGGAGGGAGGAGGCUGGGGGUAGUUGGAUUGGUAUGAUAUGUCACUGAGUAAACGAAGGAAGGGACAGAAAGAGAACUCCAAAGUGUCAAAAGCCUGGACAACAGAGAGAAAGCAUCCUUGUCCUAUCAUUUAAAGCACCUGUUGGGCCAAAUAGGGAGCACCUUUCAGAAUCCAUGUGCACAAGAUCUCAGCAAUUCUACGUCCAAGAAUGUAACCUACAUCCAAGAAUGUACUGGAAUUUAAUUCCACAUCCAAGAAUCCCCAUAGGUAGCAAAGAUGUAUAUUUAAGGGUAUUCUCUCAGCUUUGUUUUUAUGUUAGGAGAUUGGGAACAACCUAAAUGCCCAUCAGCUGGUGACUGGCUAGGUUAACUAUUCACAAAUGGAAUACUAGGUAGCCUCCUAAAAGAGGAAAGCAAUUCUACAUAUCCUGAUACAGUGUGGUCACCAGAUAGAUGGCUAAGAUACAAAUAAAACAAACAAGUUGCAGUGUUAGAGUAUGCUAUGUAUCACUCCUUUUUAAGGACAAAAAGAGGAUAUACUUUAACUUUUUAAGAUACCAAAGUAUUUAUUUAUUUAAAAUUUUUUUCACAGAAUUGUUAUAGCAUGUAGAACCAAAAAUUAUUUACAAAUGAAAUUAUUCAAUGUCUGAGAUUUGUGUCAAAAUAAUGGUAUGGGGGUUUAGUGAGUAAGCAUGUAGGUAGAACAAGAUUGUCCAUGAGCUGAUAGUUGUUGAAGCUGGGUGAUCACCUGGGUGUUUUAUACUAUUUGGGUGUUAAACUAUUUUUUUUUCUAUUCUUGUGUAUGUGUCAAAUUUCCACUUAAGAAAAUGGGGGAAAAUGGUGUCAGCCCUCCAUUCCAGCUGAACACACCAUGUUAGUUCAUGCCCCAUCACACCACUCUUCUAGCCAUCUGUCAAUCUUCUCUGCCUGGCAAAUUUCUACUCUUUCAUCAGGACCCAGGAUAAUUAUCACCUUCUCUGAGAGGGCUUUUCCAACCCCUAUAGUCAGAAUCAUUCCUUCUCUAUGCUUGGGGCCCCCUGAGAAAUGUCUCUAAUCCUGUCACAAAUACAUAUUCCAGUGUCAUUAUCCAUCUCCCUAGUAGACAGUGAACAUUUCCAUCAAUGAGACAAUGUCUCAACUAUCUUCUUUCUGUCUCAACCCUUAACCCUGGCACUUAAUACUUGUUUGUUAAAUUCAUGGGUCAGGUCUAGUGAAGACAAUGAUUAGUUGUUUGGUUUGAUACAUACUGACCUUGAGAAGUCAAAGGGAUAUAGGAGGAGAGAAAGUGAAUGAGGAACUGAUGUUACUGAGCCUGUGCUAGGAGACUGCUGGGGCAAGGAAUAGAGUGAGGAGAAAGGAGGCAAGGCUCCUGCUGGCAAGGACCUCACUUUCAUUUCAGCUGGGGAAGAGCAUGGAAAGAUGUCAUUCUAGAGCAUGGUAAGUGCCAUGGAUGAAAUAGACAAGGCAAAACUUAUUCCACUUCAGCAAAGCGAGUGUCAAUAUUCUACUUAUGGAUGAGUGGAUGAACACAAGUGAUUUCAUCUGAACAUGUGUUCCUCCACUCAUCCAUAAGUAGAAUAUUGACACUUGCUUUGCUGAAGUGGAAUAAGUUUUGCCUUGUCAAUUUGUUUAUUUAUUUAUUUAUUUAUUUAUUUAUUUAUUUAUUCUAUUAUAUAUUUAUUUAUUCCAUAUAACAACCCUCAUUAAGUAGGAACUCUUUUUUGAGGGACAGGGUAUUACUGUGUUGCCCAGGCUAGUCUUGAACUUCUGGCCUGUGGUGUUCCUCCUGCCUUGGCCCCACAGAGUGCUGAGAUUACAGGCUUCAGCCACCAUGCCCGGUCUAAAGUAGGAACUCUUAACAGUCCCACAUUUAUAGCCUGGGAAAAUGAAGCUUAGGAAGAAUGAAGUCAACAGAGCAACAGAGGUCACACACCUCGCAAACAGCAGAGCCCAAAUGUCUUACCAUGCACUACCCUUUUGAGAAAGAAGACUGAAAUCAGGAGCCUGGUAAGGAAAUGGUGGAAACAGUGAAAGAGAACAAGAUGCACUGUUUCAUUUGUGAGAUGAGAAACAGAAAAAAAGAAAUGUCCUGAGAGCCCAAGAAAGACUGUUAGGAAAGGAACUGGGGCAAGUGUCAGAGUCCAUGGAGAAACCCAGCAGGGAAACCUGAGGGUCAUGGCAAUUGGCCAACACGAGGCGAUAAGGGACCUUUGAUGGAGCUAUUUUUGGUGGUGCUAACCUUCUUUGCUACAGGCUCACAACUGGAGCAUCUGCUUGCUUCCUCUGACCUGCCCCCUGGACUCAUGUUGUCAUUCUUCUCGCUCAACCUGUCUGCCUAGGGAAGAAGCCCUGGACUGUGUUUCCCCAAUCUCAGUAUUCCCAACCCUCCUGGCCCCCAACCCAGUACCUGCAGAGCUGACUCUAACCACCCAGUGCACCUCCCGCAGGCUGCAGCAGCCCCCAUCGAGGCCACUCAUUUACAGCACAGGCCCACACAGUCUGACAAAGGACAGCUGCAAUCCUCUGUCAACUGCAGUCCUUUCCCAGGCACAUGCUGGAUUGGGAAACAGGUGGGAGAAAAGAACAGGUAAGACGUUCCUGUGGGAGUGAGUUAGCCUGGCAUUUACUGUGCCUCUUUGUGAAGAGCAGCCAACCUUUUCUGGCUUAAUCAGACUUGCCUAGAGCACUUGAAAAGAAUAGCUCUGAAGUCCAUGUGAUUUUGCUUCCCCACCCCCACCCCAACCAUGACUGAUUGGAACUGGAUAGAUGUCUUCCUCAGGAGGAGGAGCCAAGGGCUGUUUCCUGUCCCUGGACUUUGGAAUUGGGCCACCUAGUCAGUGAGUGGCCAAGAACCCAAUGAGGCUGCCCCAUGAAGGGAGCUGAGCUCAGUCAAAGAGAUUCAUGGCAGAGCACUAGGGUUAAUAAAGGCCCACGAACUCUUGUUGCUGAAGGCUCUAGGGCUGCCCCAUCCCUGCCCUUCCUGAGAUUUGGUGGAUCACCUCUUCCUGGGUUUCCACAAGUCCUCUCUCUCUCUCUCAAUAACCUAUUAAAUUGGGGUGUGAGUGGAUUCCUGUCCCUUGCAUCCAAAGUCUCCUUGGCUAUAAUGGAGUUCUAUAGGAAUGAGAGCAAGGGGCAGGAGCCCAAGGGUAGGAGGUUCUAAGUUUAGGACUUUAGAAAUAACAUUGUUAAGUGUGUUGAUGUCUAAGUCAGAAUGGAGGUGAUUCCCUCAAGUUUCUAAGCAUCAUCCAUUCCAUUCUGUCCAACAG
rnacentral:lncRNA from 10 species